GACCAGACUCCUACGGGAGGCAGCAGUGGGGAAUAUUGCACAAUGGGGGAAACCCUGAUGCAGCGACGCCGCGUGAGUGAAGAAGUAUUUCGGUAUGUAAAGCUCUAUCAGCAGGAAAGAAAAUGACGGUACCCGACUAAGAAGCCCCGGCUAACUACGUGCCAGCAGCCGCGGUAAUACGUAGGGGGCAAGCGUUAUCCGGAUUUACUGGGUGUAAAGGGAGCGUAGACGGUGAAGCAAGUCUGAAGUGAAAGGCGGGGGCUCAACCCCCGGACUGCUUUGGAAACUGUUUGACUGGAGUGCAGGAGAGGUAAGUGGAAUUCCUAGUGUAGCGGUGAAAUGCGUAGAUAUUAGGAGGAACACCAGUGGCGAAGGCGGGUUCCUGGACAUUAACUGACGCUGAGGCACGAAGGCCAGGGGAGCGAAAGGGAUUAGAUCCCCGAGUA
rnacentral:rRNA from 1 species